AGGUAGAAAAUAAAGAAUCACUAAUAUAGCAAGGCAAUCUUGAUAUUCAAAUAAAAUAAAAGAAACCUAUAUAAUUACUAAUAUAAAGUCUACAGCCUACACCAAGCUAUACAUUUUCAUCUAUAGUGUGAAAACUUAGAAAAUAUCAUAAGGAGCAUCAACUAAUGAGGAUAUUAAGACACAAGGGUCACUUCCUUCGUGACCGCGCUCGGCUAAACCAACACAGCUGUCACCUACACGGACUACCACAUGACCUGGCACAUCAGGGUGCCUCCGUAGGUACACAAUAUAUCUAGACACCACGUCUACAUAAUGUGCACCACCUAACUCACUCGAGUAUUGAAUCAAGCGCUUUACGAUCAUAUAAUGAUAAUCAUCAUAAACCAGAUCUAUAUCGAAUAUGCAACUAGAAUAAACUAAGAACUGAAUAAGUAGUAAUAUAUUGUUUUAGAGCAAAGUCAUAAUGAAAUACAAGAUAAUAUUACAAAUUUCUAGAAGGCAGAUCUGGAAUCCCGAGCGGAGUGCCCGAUUUCUACUUGAACCUCGCUAGACGCCUAUACUAAGAACUUGAAGAACUAAAGCUCUACUUCUAAUCUCUGGAAACCCUGACUUCUGACUACUCUUGACAAAUGAAGUAGG
rnacentral:lncRNA from 1 species